rfam:Salmo salar isolate Sally breed double haploid chromosome ssa21, whole genome shotgun sequence.
UAGCUCAGUUGGUAGAGCAUGGUGUUUGCAACGCCAGGGUUGUGGAUUCGAUUCCCAC